GACGAACGCUGGCGGCGUGCUUAACACAUGCAAGUCGAACGCUGAAGACCUGGCUUUUGUUGGGUUGGAUGAGUGGCGAACGGGUGAGUAACACGUGAGUAACCUGCCCUCUUCUUUGGGAUAACGCCCGGAAACGGGUGCUAAUACUGGAUAUUCACUGGCCUUCGCAUGGGGGUUGGUGGGAAGGUUUGUUCUGGUGGGGGAUGGGCUCGCGGCCUAUCAGCUUGUUGGUGGGGUGAUGGCCUACCAAGGCUUUGACGGGUAGCCGGCCUGAGAGGGUGACCGGUCACAUUGGGACUGAGAUACGGCCCAGACUCCUACGGGAGGCAGCAGUGGGGAAUAUUGCACAAUGGGCGAAAGCCUGAUGCAGCGACGCCGCGUGAGGGAUGGAGGCCUUCGGGGUGUAAACCUCUUUCGCUCAUGGUCAAGCCGCAACUGUGGGUUGUGGUGAGGGUAGUGGGUAAAGAAGCGCCGGCUAACUACGUG
rnacentral:rRNA from 1 species